GAUGAACGCUGGCGGCGUGCCUAAUACAUGCAAGUCGAGCGAACGGACGAGAAGCUUGCUUCUCUGAUGUUAGCGGCGGACGGGUGAGUAACACGUGGAUAACCUACCUAUAAGACUGGGAUAACUUCGGGAAACCGGAGCUAAUACCGGAUGAUAUUAUGAACCGCAUGGUUCAAAAGUGAAAGACGGUCUUGCUGUCACUUAUAGAUGGAUCCGCGCUGCAUUAGCUAGUUGGUAAGGUAACGGCUUACCAAGGCAACGAUGCAUAGCCGACCUGAGAGGGUGAUCGGCCACACUGGAACUGAGACACGGUCCAGACUCCUACGGGAGGCAGCAGUAGGGAAUCUUCCGCAAUGGGCGAAAGCCUGACGGAGCAACGCCGCGUGAGUGAUGAAGGUCUUCGGAUCGUAAAACUCUGUUAUUAGGGAAGAACAUAUGUGUAAGUAACUGUGCACAUCUUGACGGUACCUAAUCAGAAAGCCACGGCUAACUACGUG
rnacentral:rRNA from 1 species